rnacentral:lncRNA from 1 species
ACCGCUGACCACCUCUUCUCAAGCACACAUGAGUUUUGCAUGAAUUUUUUUGCACUAUUCUAAUGGUUGUCACCCAAAUUUUUAAGAUGAGGAUAAAAUUUGGUUCAAAGUUCAAUUUAAAUUUGAUUUGAAUUGAUGAUAAAGAUCAAUCAACGUUUGAACUUGAAUCAAACUACCAAAUCAUUAUCCUUAUCUUUCAUGGGAUGCCACCUUAAGAAGGCUUGUUCUUGUGUACCCCAUUAGAUGAGCUUUUUGGUGUGAGAAACAUCAAAGGGGCAUGAAAAAUUUAAGAGGGGGUGGGAGUCCGUGCAUGAGAAAUUGAGGAAGAACUCUUCCUCUUGGGCGUGAGGUCUAGGGUAGGUUCUAAGGUUUCUGAUUGCUCUAGUUUUGUGUGAGAAAAUCACAAGAGUCUUGUCUUCUUUCUUCCACACCACCUCCUUUUCAAUGAGCUCUAUCUUCUGAUCUAGAGAUGUUCAGAUGAUCAUAAGGAAGGAGUCUUCACAAGCCAUUCAGAGCCUUCUACGUGAGCUAGCACUCCCAAGAAGGACGAUCUGUUUAGGGCUUUGAGUGGACUACUUGUAGAAGCCGGACAAUCUGUGCGGCUGCUCGAUAUCAGAUAGGAUCUCGCACCAUGUUCAUCAACAACAGCGAUCAUCGAUCUAUGAUAAGAUAAUGAGUUCUGAACAUAUUUGAUCAGAUCUAACAGCUAGAUCUGAUUCAGGACAUCAAUAUGAUCGAUGCAGUAUUUUUUUUAUAUUAGAUUUUUUUAUAUAAAUAUUUCAUAUCAUAGAUCCUUAAAAAGGUAGUUUAGAUCAGAUCUAAAGUAUGUGUAAGAGAUUGAAUUAUUUAAUCUACUAUUUUUGCUAUAAAAAUUUUAAAAAUAUAUGCUUUGAACUACCUUUUUUUUUUCAAAUGGUAUCAGAGCUUCAUUGCUCUUGAUAUGAAUGUUUUGCAUAUAAUCUGAUUAUAAUCUAAUUUUAAUUAUUUAGAUUAAAUUUAAAUAAUUAAUCAUAUAUCUAAGUAGUGUAGUAAUUGAAUUGGAUAGAUCACCAUGACCGUCCGAUCAUAAGAGAAAAUAAGGUUUCACGGUUCUCUCCUCCCAUUCGAUGGGGAUCUCCUAUAGUGUGUAGGGGUACUGCAUGGUUAUUUUCUAUGAAGAUGAACAAUAAAAGGAGCUUAAAAAAAAAUUUAGACCUGAUAUAAUGUAUGUUAGAUCUGAAAUUAAAGUUUAUUUAAUUGUAUAAUAGUUUAUGAAAAUAUUUUACAAAACUUGAAACUAUUUUCAAACAUCAAAUUACAACC